AUUGAACGCUGGCGGCAUGCUUUACACAUGCAUGUCGAACGGUAACAGGCCGCAAGGUGCUGACGAGUGGCGAACGGGUGAGUAAUGCAUCGGGACGUGCCCAGUCGUGGGGGAUAACGCAGCGAAAGCUGCGCUAAUACCGCAUACGAUCUGUGGAUGAAAGCGGGGGACCGAAAGGCCUCGCGCGAUUGGAGCGGCCGAUGUCAGAUUAGGUAGUUGGUGGGGUAAAGGCCCACCAAGCCAACGAUCUGUAGCUGGUCUGAGAGGACGACCAGCCACACUGGGACUGAGACACGGCCCAGACUCCUACGGGAGGCAGCAGUGGGGAAUUUUGGACAAUGGGCGCAAGCCUGAUCCAGCAAUGCCGCGUGCAGGAAGAAGGCCUUCGGGUUGUAAACUGCUUUUGUACGGAACGAAACGGCUCUGGUUAAUACCUGGGGCUAAUGACGGUACCGUAAGAAUAAGCACCGGCUAACUACGUGCCAGCAGCCGCGGUAACAC
rnacentral:rRNA from 1 species